ensembl:lncRNA
GCAAAGGCCAGGCCUGGGGGUUUAGCUGACAGAAAAAUGAAUUAGAAACAUCUUCGAUUUACAUUUUGGAGAACGAAGGUGGCACUAGUAAGGAGCCUGCCUGCAAAUGCAGGAGACGUAAGAGAUUCGGGUUCGAUCCCUGGGUCAAGAAGAUCCCCUGGAGAAGGGCAUGGCAACUCACUCUAGUAUUCUUGCCCGGAGAGUCCCGUGAAGAGAGAACCUGGAGGGCUGUAGUCCACGGAGUUGCAAAGAGUCAGACACAACUGACGCUACUGAGCAUGCUUGUUUCUCCUUGCAGCACAAAAGCUGGUAGAAUGAAGUGGGUGUAAG